AUUGAACGCUGGCGGCAUGCUUUACACAUGCAAGUCGAACGGUAACAGGUCUUCGGACUGCUGACGAGUGGCGAACGGGUGAGUAAUGCAUCGGAACGUGCCCAGUCGUGGGGGAUAACGCAGCGAAAGCUGUGCUAAUACCGCAUACGAUCUAUGGAUGAAANCGGGGAUCGCAAGACCUCGCGCGAUUGGAGCGGCCGAUGUCAGAUUAGCUAGUUGGUGGGGUAAAGGCCCACCCAAGGCGACGAUCUGUAGCUGGUCUGAGAGGACGACCAGCCACACUGGGACUGAGACACGGCCCAGGACUCCCUACGGGAGGCGAGCAGUGGGGAAUUUUUGGACAAUGGGCGCAAGCCUGAUCCAGCAAUGACCGCGUGC
rnacentral:rRNA from 1 species